AGCAGUGGGGAAUAUUGGACAAUGGGCGAAAGCCUGAUCCAGCCAUGCCGCGUGUGUGAAGAAGGCCUUUUGGUUGUAAAGCACUUUAAGCGAGGAGGAGGCUACUUAGAUUAAUACUCUAGGAUAGUGGACGUUACUCGCAGAAUAAGCACCGGCUAACUCUGUGCCAGCAGCCGCGGUAAUACAGAGGGUGCGAGCGUUAAUCGGAUUUACUGGGCGUAAAGCGUGCGUAGGCGGCUUUUUAAGUCGGAUGUGAAAUCCCUGAGCUUAACUUAGGAAUUGCAUUCGAUACUGGGAAGCUAGAGUAUGGGAGAGGAUGGUAGAAUUCCAGGUGUAGCGGUGAAAUGCGUAGAGAUCUGGAGGAAUACCGAUGGCGAAGGCAGCCAUCUGGCCUAAUACUGACGCUGAGGUACGAAAGCAUGGGGAGCAAACAGGAUUAGAUACCCUGGUAGUCCAUGCCGUAAACGAUGUCUACUAGCCGUUGGGGCCUUUGAGGCUUUAGUGGCGCAGCUAACGCGAUAAGUAGA
rnacentral:rRNA from 1 species